rnacentral:tRNA from 1 species
GGUGGUUAGCUCAGCUGGGAGAGCAUCGCCCUUACAAGGCGAGGGUCGUAGGUUCGAUCCCUACCGCCA